rnacentral:misc_RNA from 1 species
UUGGAGGGCAAGUCUGGUGCCAGCAGCCGCGGUAAUUCCAGCUCCAAUAGCGUAUAUUAAAGUUGUUGCAGUUAAAAAGCUCGUAGUUGAAUUUCGGGAUCAAUAUAUUGGUCGUGCCUCCGGUAUGCACUGGUAUUAUUGAUUUCUACCUUCUGACGAACUGUGAUGUCAUUAAUUUGGUGUCAUGGGGAAUCAGGACUGUUACUUUGAAAAAAUUAGAGUGUUUAAAGCAGGCACACGCUUGAAUACAUUAGCAUGGAAUAAUGAAAUAGGACGUUUGACCCUAUUUUGUUGGUUUCUAGGAUCGACGUAAUGAUUAAUAGGGAUAGUUGGG